rnacentral:sRNA from 1 species
CCAAAAAGUUGUCAGAAAAAUCAGUGGUUUUUAUGUUCUGUGAUCUAGUAAGAACUUUCAUACUUAAGCAAAUAUUAAAAUUUACAUGAUAAAAUGCCUUCAGUGUGUGUGUGUGUGUGUGUGUGUGUGUGUGUGUGUGUGUUAUUGAACCCAGUCAGGGUGCCUUGCC